rnacentral:lncRNA from 1 species
AAACAUGCACGAAAUAGUGAGUGGUUAGUUGCGAGAAGAGUUAUAAUUGUUUUUCUUUUAAGGUUGACAACUGGUGACGAACAAUGGUUAUCCACCCCUUUCAGGUCUGGAACAGGCUAAUUGGAAAGUGUACCACCAUCACGCCUUUCUUCAUGGAGACCUCCACCAAGUUUUCGAGCUCAGGGGGAGGAAGGGAAAGUUUUCAGGUGAAAAAAGGCGAUAUAUGGUCUCAAGCAAUCUCCUCAGGCUUGGUUCGAGAUAUGAAGUUUGGUUAUGACGAAGAUUAAUGGGUCUCUACAAUAAUGAUGAAUAUGUCCAUUGAGUUAUAUUAUAUAACAUUUUUCAUAAGGUUAUUUGGCCAAUGGUCAACAAAAUCUUUAUUGAUUAAUCAUAUAUCAACGGAAGUGGCCCUCUAUCACAGUGGUGGAGAUGAGUGUUGCCCUUGCAUCACGGUGUGGGUUUGAACCUCGUCGGCUCCCUAAUUUAACAAAUCUAUCGUUUGACAAAAAAAAAUCAUAUAUCUACGGUCAUUUUUAUUAUUGGAACAAUCAAUGAAAUAUAUUAUACAUUUCUCUCUCCUCACUUUAUUCAUUCCUUCUCUCACGUAAAACCCUAGCUCCCAACUUGAUUAUGAAUCUCAAAGCUUUUUUGUCUCAAACUUUCCAGAUGUCUGGGACUUUCCAUCUUCUAUCAAUUUGAUCCAAUCCCAUCGAAAUUAAGGUUUCCCGAUAGCCAAAACUCAGAAUGUUGUCGUUCUGGUUGAGCACGGCCUUAAAGGUAAUGGAUGCUUACUCUCCCGCAGAACUAGUCACAUGCAUAUAGUCUAGUCUGGCCAAAAAAUUUGAUCUGAUUCGAUGCUUUAGUAGCAUUGCGGGCAUAGAAACCUCAUCUUCAUAGACAAACAGAUUGUCGAUUCCCACCUGAGUAUUUCAGUUAAAGGUAACUGUUUAUGAGAAAGUGAAGAGAAAAUAAAAUCUUACCCCUGAGAAAUGUGCCACCGGAAUAGGCUCUGCAUUUUUUUUAACUAAGAGAGAAAAUACACAACAGUUGAGCAAUGUUCUAAAUUUUAAUUUACAUAUGGCAAGAAUUUAAGAAAACUAAAAUACAUUGACCAUUUCAUCACCUUGAUCUACAAUUCAAGAAUCAUAGUAAGGAGGGAAUACUAAUAAAAACCUUUCAUUCUAUAAGAGUAAAAGUUGGCCCUAAAGGAAAGAUUACUAGUCUCUAUCUCUUGUUUUAUUUUUUUAUUUUUUUGGUGAACUAGAAAAUAUCAUUCACUAGGGCCGCGGCCAAAAGGUAAUAGAAAACCAGGGUGGCUAACAACAGUAAACAAGAAGUACAAACAAGGGACAAAAAACAAGACAUAGAACAUCACCAUGUCACCCUUAAUCCUACCCAAACAUAAUCUAAAUGAAGAUGGAGGUCUUCUGACCUAGACAAAAUCAUACAUCUUCGCACCAGCAUGCGACGCAACAAAAUUCGUUGCUUCAUUGGCUGCCUGUGGCACCCAAGACCAGGUGCACGAAUAGAACGCCAUCCCCAUCUCGCAUAGAACCAGAAAAACAUGAGCCCGCUCGAUACAACCGUUCAACCAUGUAAUAAUCGCCUUAGAAUCUAAUUCAACCACAAUACAAGAAUAACCCCGCUGCCGAGCCAUUAAGCAUUCUUCCAAAACUCCCCGAGCCUCUGCCAUAAGGGCAGAAGAGGCACGGGUCCUUCUUCUCCUCACUGUUAAGCAACAAGACCCAGAAUCCCUCAUAACAAUCCCAAUAUGGCAGCCCUCAUCAAUCAUCUUCCAACAAGCGUCCACAUUCACCUUGAUGUCUCGCAAAGCCCGCUCCCUCGAAUGAGCCUCCAGGAAAGCAAAGCUAGAAUUCUCAAUGGCCCGCACAGUACGGGUUGGGGAUGGGAUUCUCUAAUUAAAAACUCCAUCACACCUAACUUUUCAUAUUGACCAGCAUGAGAAUGCAAUAUACGACAUUGUUUUCCUCCACUCCACCACACCUUCAGGCAAACUACACCAAAUAGAUUC